AUUGAACGCUGGCGGCAGGCUUAACACAUGCAAGUCGAGCGGAGCGGCGGACGGGUGAGUAAUGCUUAGGAAUCUGCCUCUUAGUGGGGGACAACAUCUCGAAAGGGAUGCUAAUACCGCAUACUCAUAGAUGAGCCUAAGUCGGAUUAGCUAGAUGGUGGGGUAAAGGCAUACCAAGUCGACGAUCCUUAGCGGGUCUGCGAGGAUGAUCAGCCACACUGGAACUGAGACACGGUCCAGACUCCUACGGGAGGCAGCAGUGGGGAAUAUUGCACAAUGGGCGCAAGCCUGAUGCAGCCAUGCCGCGUGUGUGAAGAAGGCCUUCGGGUUGUAAAGCACUUUCAGCGGGGAGGCGUUACCCGCAGAAGAAGCACCGGCUAACUCCGUGCCAGCAGCCGCGGUAAUAC
rnacentral:rRNA from 1 species